UACGAAGGGGGCGAGCGUUGUUCGGAUUUACUGGGCGUAAAGGGCGCGCAGGCGGCUUAUUUUGUCAGCGUGAAAGACCCCGGGCUUAACCCGUGGGCAAACAUGGCCGCUUUGAGACGGGAUGGAGCUAGAGAUCGGGAGAGGAGGAGUGGGAAUUCCCAGUGUAGAGGUGAAAUUGUAGAUAUUGGGAAGAACGACCGGGUGGCGAAGG
rnacentral:rRNA from 1 species